rnacentral:piRNA from 1 species
UUUCUGUUAUUGGGAAGUUAAGCGUGGGC